AGUGAACGCUGGCGGUAGGCCUAACACAUGCAAGUCGAACGGCAGCACAGUAAGAGCUUGCUCUUACGGGUGGCGAGUGGCGGACGGGUGAGGAAUACAUCGGAAUCUACUUUUUCGUGGGGGAUAACGUAGGAAAACUUACGCUAAUACCGCAUACGAUCUACGGGUGAAAGCAGGGUAUCUUCGGACUUUGCGCGAUUGAAUGAGCCGAUGUCGGUUUAGCUAGUUGGCGGGCUAACGGCCCACCAAGGCGACGAACCGUCACUGGUCUGAGAGGAUGAUCAGCCACAGUGGAACGGAAACAAGGAACAAACACCCAUGGGAGUGAGAGGUGGGGAAUGUUGGACAAUGGGCGCAAGCCUGAACCAGCCAUCCCGCGUGGGUGAAGAAGGCCUUGGGUUGGUAAAGGCGUUUUGUUGGGAAAGAAAAUAAGCAGGUGAAUACCCCAAUGUAUUGAAGGUACCCAAAGUGUAAGCACCGGGUAACUACUUG
rnacentral:rRNA from 1 species